rnacentral:lncRNA from 1 species
UUCACCUCAUUACGUACCAUAUAAAAAUCACCUUUCGCUCCCUUAUUGUUUGGUCUGUUUGUUGGCAUUCGCUACACAUCGUAGGAAAACAGUUCCCUAACGCCUUACUAGCGCUACUAACUUGAAUCAUAGUGUCCCAAUCUACGUCUAAAAGACCAGGCCACAAAAUUUGCCUUACAACAUGGGCAUUCUCCUCAACCCUCAAGACCCAGCUGACCUGCUUCUCACACGCUUUCAAGUGGGCCGACCAAUUGAGAACUACGUAGAGGAAUUCAUCGAGCUCUCAGAUCAAGUGCCCUGGAAUGAUGAGACACUAAAAACCAUUUUCUGGUGCAGCUUGGAUGAUCACCUUUAUCUACAAGUUCCAGGGGGCGCAACCACAUGUUCUUUACAAAAAUAUAUUGAUUAUAUUCUAUGGAUGUUGUGGAUCAUCAUAUAUUAUAGAGGAAGCACUUCCCAAGUCCGCUCCAGAUUCGCGCCAGUCAUCAAAUAUCUCUCAGCCUCGAAGAUCAGUUAUAAGUCCAUUCCUGUUCCAGAAUCUGUUCACACCCAUGAGCCAGCACCAAAGCUUGGGACAAACUCAGAGACUGUUAAAACCUCAGCACUUCUUUUCAACUCUGCC